rnacentral:rRNA from 1 species
CCUACGGGAGGCAGCAGUGGGGAAUAUUGGGCAAUGGAGGAAACUCUGACCCAGCAACGCCGCGUGAAUGAUGAAGGUCUUCGGAUUGUACAGUUCUUUUCUAAGGGAAGAAGAAAGUGACGGUACCUUAGGAAUAAGCCUCGGCUAACUACGUGCCAGCAGCCGCGGUAAUACGUAGGAGGCAAGCGUUAUCCGGAAUGACUGGGCGUAAAGGGUGCGUAGGUGGUUUGACAAGUUGGUAGCGUAACUCCGAGGCUUAACCUCGGCACUACUACCAAAACUGUUGGACUCGAGUGCAGGAGGGGCAAAUUGAAUUCCUAGUGUAGCGGUGGAAUGCGUAGAUAUUAGGAGGAACAUCGGUGGCGAAAGCGCUUUACUGGACCAUUAUUGACGCUGAGGAACGAAAGCCAGGGGAGCAAAUGGGAUUAGAUACCCGGGUAGUC